AAGAAGAAAGAGAAGGACGAUGGGUUGGAAUGAGAAAGUAAGGAAGAUAAGAAAUGGGUGGUUGAAAAUGAAGGAGAGAAGGUUGGACGAAUAAGUGAGAAAACGAGGUCUGUUUUGGGGUUGAGAGAGGAGGAGGGAAUAUGGGGUAGUCUUACAAAGUCGUGGAAAUAGUGUGCUUUAUGUAUUAAAAGGAGGGAAAGAAGAUGAAUUUUUGACAUAUGAGAAAGAUUAAUGUAGGAGGUUAUUUUAAGGGAAAAAUGAUAUUUUAACAUUAUUUUUUGUAUGAUUGGACGAUUUCAAAUUAAAAAAAUUGAGGCAGGGAUAUAUUUGGAAGAGAAAAACCAAAGUUUGUUUUUUUAAUUUGAAAUCGUCCAACCAUAUUUUGCCACGUGUGCAGUGUCAAAAUAAUGUUAAAAUAUCAUUUUCCUGGAUUGUGCGUGGGAUGUUUACUUUAUUUGUUAUUUACGUAAGGGAGAUAGUAAGAGUAUGAAUGUUUCAUCCUACAUCUUCAAUCGUUUCAUUCUGUGUUUCCAACUUUUUUUUUAAAAUUUCAUAAUUGUUCUCCACAGUUCAAAAUAACUUACACCCC
rnacentral:lncRNA from 1 species